rnacentral:rRNA from 1 species
CCUACGGGAGGCAGCAGUGGGGGAUAUUGCACAAUGGGGGGAACCCUGAUGCAGCGACGCCGCGUGGGUGAAGAAGCGCCUCGGCGCGUAAAGCCCUGUCAGCAGGGAAGAAAAUGACGGUACCUGAAGAAGAAGCCCCGGCUAACUACGUGCCAGCAGCCGCGGUAAUACGUAGGGGGCAAGCGUUAUCCGGAUUUACUGGGUGUAAAGGGGGCGCAGACGGCGAUGCAAGCCAGGAGUGAAAGCCCGGGGCCCAACCCCGGGACUGCUCUUGGAACUGCGUGGCGGGAGUGCAGGAGGGGCAGGCGGAAUUCCUGGUGUAGCGGUGAAAGGCGUAGAUAUCAGGAGGAACACCGGUGGCGAAGGCGGCCUGCUGUACUGCAACUGACGUUGAGGCCCGAAAGCGUGGGGAGCAAACAGGAUUAGAUACCCUUGUAGUC